rnacentral:snRNA from 1 species
GUGCCUUAAACUAAUGAGUAAGGAAAAUAUAGAGCCUUGUUAACUUUGGGUUUAGCUAACAAGUUAGCAAAUGUAUAGUUAUUUAUUUGCCAAGUGGGGAAAGUAGUACUUUUCCAC